rnacentral:rRNA from 1 species
UACGGGGGGGGCAAGCGUUGUUCGGAAUUACUGGGCGUAAAGGGUUUGUAGGUGGCUUGCUAAGUCAGACGUGAAAUCCCUCAGCUUAACUGAGGAACUGCGUCUGAGACUGGCAAGCUUGAGUGCAGGAGAGGAACGCGGAAUUCCAGGUGUAGCGGUGAAAUGCGUAGAUAUCUGGAGGAACACCGGUGGCGAAGGCGGCAUCCUGGACCAACACUGACACUGAGGAGCGAAAGCCAGGGGAGCAAACGGG